GGGUUGUGAGGUUAAGCGACUAAGCGUACACGGUGGAUGCCCUGGCAGUCAGAGGCGAUGAAGGACGUGCUAAUCUGCGAUAAGCGUCGGUAAGGUGAUAUGAACCGUUAUAACCGGCGAUUUCCGAAUGGGGAAACCCAGUGUGUUUCGACACACUAUCAUUAACUGAAUCCAUAGGUUAAUGAGGCGAACCGGGGGAACUGAAACAUCUAAGUACCCCGAGGAAAAGAAAUCAACCGAGAUUCCCCCAGUAGCGGCGAGCGAACGGGGAGCAGCCCAGAGCCUGAAUCAGUGUGUGUGUUAGUGGAAGCGUCUGGAAAGGCGCGCGAUACAGGGUGACAGCCCCGUACACAAAAAUGCACAUAUUGUGAGCUCGAUGAGUAGGGCGGGACACGUGGUAUCCUGUCUGAAUAUGGGGGGACCAUCCUCCAAGGCUAAAUACUCCUGACUGACCGAUAGUGAACCAGUACCGUGAGGGAAAGGCGAAAAGAACCCCGGCGAGGGGAGUGAAAAAGAACCUGAAACCGUGUACGUACAAGCAGUGGGAGCACGCUUAGGCGUGUGACUGCGUACCUUUUGUAUAAUGGGUCAGCGACUUAUAUUCUGUAGCAAGGUUAACCGAAUAGGGGAGCCGAAGGGAAACCGAGUCUUAACUGGGCGUUAAGUUGCAGGGUAUAGACCCGAAACCCGGUGAUCUAGCCAUGGGCAGGUUGAAGGUUGGGUAACACUAACUGGAGGACCGAACCGACUAAUGUUGAAAAAUUAGCGGAUGACUUGUGGCUGGGGGUGAAAGGCCAAUCAAACCGGGAGAUAGCUGGUUCUCCCCGAAAGCUAUUUAGGUAGCGCCUCGUGAAUUCAUCUCCGGGGGUAGAGCACUGUUUCGGCAAGGGGGUCAUCCCGACUUACCAACCCGAUGCAAACUGCGAAUACCGGAGAAUGUUAUCACGGGAGACACACGGCGGGUGCUAACGUCCGUCGUGAAGAGGGAAACAACCCAGACCGCCAGCUAAGGUCCCAAAGUCAUGGUUAAGUGGGAAACGAUGUGGGAAGGCCCAGACAGCCAGGAUGUUGGCUUAGAAGCAGCCAUCAUUUAAAGAAAGCGUAAUAGCUCACUGGUCGAGUCGGCCUGCGCGGAAGAUGUAACGGGGCUAAACCAUGCACCGAAGCUGCGGCAGCGACGCUUAUGCGUUGUUGGGUAGGGGAGCGUUCUGUAAGCCUGCGAAGGUGUACUGUGAGGUAUGCUGGAGGUAUCAGAAGUGCGAAUGCUGACAUAAGUAACGAUAAAGCGGGUGAAAAGCCCGCUCGCCGGAAGACCAAGGGUUCCUGUCCAACGUUAAUCGGGGCAGGGUGAGUCGACCCCUAAGGCGAGGCCGAAAGGCGUAGUCGAUGGGAAACAGGUUAAUAUUCCUGUACUUGGUGUUACUGCGAAGGGGGGACGGAGAAGGCUAUGUUGGCCGGGCGACGGUUGUCCCGGUUUAAGCGUGUAGGCUGGUUUUCCAGGCAAAUCCGGAAAAUCAAGGCUGAGGCGUGAUGACGAGGCACUACGGUGCUGAAGCAACAAAUGCCCUGCUUCCAGGAAAAGCCUCUAAGCAUCAGGUAACAUCAAAUCGUACCCCAAACCGACACAGGUGGUCAGGUAGAGAAUACCAAGGCGCUUGAGAGAACUCGGGUGAAGGAACUAGGCAAAAUGGUGCCGUAACUUCGGGAGAAGGCACGCUGAUAUGUAGGUGAAGUCCCUCGCGGAUGGAGCUGAAAUCAGUCGAAGAUACCAGCUGGCUGCAACUGUUUAUUAAAAACACAGCACUGUGCAAACACGAAAGUGGACGUAUACGGUGUGACGCCUGCCCGGUGCCGGAAGGUUAAUUGAUGGGGUCAGCGCAAGCGAAGCUCUUGAUCGAAGCCCCGGUAAACGGCGGCCGUAACUAUAACGGUCCUAAGGUAGCGAAAUUCCUUGUCGGGUAAGUUCCGACCUGCACGAAUGGCGUAAUGAUGGCCAGGCUGUCUCCACCCGAGACUCAGUGAAAUUGAACUCGCUGUGAAGAUGCAGUGUACCCGCGGCAAGACGGAAAGACCCCGUGAACCUUUACUAUAGCUUGACACUGAACAUUGAGCCUUGAUGUGUAGGAUAGGUGGGAGGCUUUGAAGUGUGGACGCCAGUCUGCAUGGAGCCGACCUUGAAAUACCACCCUUUAAUGUUUGAUGUUCUAACGUUGACCCGUGAUCCGGGUUGCGGACAGUGUCUGGUGGGUAGUUUGACUGGGGCGGUCUCCUCCUAAAGAGUAACGGAGGAGCACGAAGGUUGGCUAAUCCUGGUCGGACAUCAGGAGGUUAGUGCAAUGGCAUAAGCCAGCUUGACUGCGAGCGUGACGGCGCGAGCAGGUGCGAAAGCAGGUCAUAGUGAUCCGGUGGUUCUGAAUGGAAGGGCCAUCGCUCAACGGAUAAAAGGUACUCCGGGGAUAACAGGCUGAUACCGCCCAAGAGUUCAUAUCGACGGCGGUGUUUGGCACCUCGAUGUCGGCUCAUCACAUCCUGGGGCUGAAGUAGGUCCCAAGGGUAUGGCUGUUCGCCAUUUAAAGUGGUACGCGAGCUGGGUUUAGAACGUCGUGAGACAGUUCGGUCCCUAUCUGCCGUGGGCGCUGGAGAACUGAGGGGGGCUGCUCCUAGUACGAGAGGACCGGAGUGGACGCAUCACUGGUGUUCGGGUUGUCAUGCCAAUGGCACUGCCCGGUAGCUAAAUGCGGAAGAGAUAAGUGCUGAAAGCAUCUAAGCACGAAACUUGCCCCGAGAUGAGUUCUCCCUGACCCUUUAAGGGUCCUGAAGGAACGUUGAAGACGACGACGUUGAUAGGCCGGGUGUGUAAGCGCAGCGAUGCGUUGAGCUAACCGGUACUAAUGAACCGUGAGGCUUAACCUUACAACGCCGAAG
rnacentral:rRNA from 1 species